GAUGAACGCUGGCGGCGUGCCUAAUACAUGCAAGUCGAGCGAACGGACGAGAAGCUUGCUUCUCUGAUGUUAGCGGCGGACGGGUGAGUAACACGUGGAUAACCUACCUAUAAGACUGGGAUAACUUCGGGAAACCGGAGCUAAUACCGGAUGAUAUUUUGAACCGCAUGGUUCAAAAGUGAAAGACGGUCUUGCUGUCACUUAUAGAUGGAUCCGCGCGGCAUUAGCUAGUUGGUAAGGUAACGGCCUACCAAGGCAACGAUGCAUAGCCGACCGGAGAGGCGGAUCGCCCACACUGGAACGUAGACAGGGUCCCUGCUCCUGCGGGAGGCAGCAGUAUGGUAUGUGCCGCAACGGGCGAAAGCCUUACGGAGCAACGCCGCGUCAGUUAUGAAGGUCUUCGGUUCGUAAAACCCUGUUAUUAGUGAAGAACAUAUUUGUGAGCAACUGUGCACAUCUUGACGGUACCUAAUCAGAAAGCCACGGCUAACUACGUG
rnacentral:rRNA from 1 species